rnacentral:sRNA from 1 species
CCCCAGCCCCGAGUGAAGCGGCAUCCUUUUUUGAAGGGAUUCAGGCCUGGGAAAAAAGAUACAGCGGAAAGCGGGAUCAGCU